rnacentral:rRNA from 1 species
CCUACGGGAGGCAGCAGUGGGGAAUAUUGCACAAUGGGCGCAAGCCUGAUGCAGCCAUGCCGCGUGUGUGAAGAAGGCCUUCGGGUUGUAAAGCACUUUCAGCGGGGAGGAAGGCGGUGAGGUUAAUAACCUCAUCGAUUGACGUUACCCGCAGAAGAAGCACCGGCUAACUCCGUGCCAGCAGCCGCGGUAAUACGGAGGGUGCAAGCGUUAAUCGGAAUUACUGGGCGUAAAGCGCACGCAGGCGGUCUGUCAAGUCGGAUGUGAAAUCCCCGGGCUCAACCUGGGAACUGCAUUCGAAACUGGCAGGCUAGAGUCUUGUAGAGGGGGGUAGAAUUCCAGGUGUAGCGGUGAAAUGCGUAGAGAUCUGGAGGAAUACCGGUGGCGAAGGCGGCCCCCUGGACAAAGACUGACGCUCAGGCGCGAAAGCGUGGGGAGCAAACAGGAUUAGAUACCCGUGUAGUC